rnacentral:rRNA from 1 species
UAUUUGUUUAUUAAAAUUUUUUUUGUUAUUUUUUGAUUAAAAUAUUUUGAACUGGAGUAUUUUUUAGAAAAAGAUAUAUUUUUUAUAGCUUAUAGUACUGUAAAGGAAUUAAAUUUAUUGGAUUUUAAGUAGUUAUUUUUGGCUUACCUUUUGUAUCAGGGUUUAUUUAAUUUUAUAAUUUAUUUUUAUUUUCUCGAAAUUUUAAGAGCUAUAUUUUUAUGUUAUUUAAUGUGUCAAUAUUUUUUAAAAUAGGAAUAUAGGGGAUAGAUUUUAUUCAAUUAAAAAUAUCUGGUUUUUUAAGACAUGGUUUUAAGCCAUAAAUAAGUUAAUAUAUUUUUGAAUUUAUAUUUAUUUGCCUCUAAGAAAGGAUAAGCUUUUUUAGAUUUCUAUAAUUUUUAUAAUCAUUAUUUUUUGUAGGAUUAAUAAUUUCCAUCUUUUAUUUUGUAAAAAUAAUUUUUAAUCUAAUUUUUAUUUAUUUGUUUUUAGAUUUUUAUUAAAAUGAAGAAAUCAAUUAAUAGUUUCUUGUAAAAAUGAUAAAAUUAGUAUUUUAAUAAAAUAAUUUAUAGUAACUCGGCAAAUAUAAUUUUCACCUGUUUAACAAAAACAUGGUCUUUUGUUUAUAUAAAAGAUCUGGCCUGCCCAAUGUUGAUUUAAUGGCUGCAGUAUUUUGACUGUACAAAGGUAGCAUAAUCACUUGUCCUUUAAUUAGGGUCUGGAAUGAAUGGUUGGAUGAAAAAUUUUCUUUCUUUAUUUUAUAAGAUGAAAUUAAUUUUUAUAUUAAAAAGUAUAGAUAGAUAUAUAGGACGAGAAGACCCUAUAGAACUUUAUUCCCCUUAGUUAAUUAUUUACUUGUAAAUAAUUAUUAUUUAGCCUAAGGGGAAUUUUGUUGGGGUGACAAAAAAAAUUUUAUAACUUUUUUUAAUUUUUUCAUUUAUGUAUGGAUAUUUGACCCUUUAAUAUGGGAAAUAAGAUUAAGUUACCUUAGGGAUAACAGCGUUAUUACUUUAGAGAGUUCAUAUCGAUAAAGUAGUUUGCGACCUCGAUGUUGGAUUAAAAUAAGUUUCAGGGGCAGAAAAUUGAUUGACUAGGUCUGUUCGACCUUUAAAUUUUUACAUGAUCUGAGUUCAGACCGGCGUGAGCCAGGUUGGUUUCUAUCCUUAGUUUAUUUCAAAGUUUUAGUACGAGAGGACCAUUUCUUUGGAAAUAUUUUUUAUUUUUUGACUUAAUU